ACGGGAGGCAGCAGUCGAGGAUCAUUUGCAAUGGGCGAAAGCCUGACAAUGCGACGCUGCGUGGAGGAUGAAGGCCUUCGGGUUGUAAACUCCUGUCAUAGGGGAACAGGCGAUCCGACCUAAUACGUCGGUGAGUUGAGUGUACCCUAAGAGGAAUUGGCGGCUAACUCUGUGCCAGCAGCCGCGGUAAUACAGAGGCCAAGAGCGUUGUUCGGAUUUACUGGGCGUAAAGGGCGCGUAGGCGGUCUUGCGUGUCAAGUGUGAAAUCUCCGGGCUCAACCCGGAAAGUGCGCUUGAAACUACAGGACUCGAGUCUGGGAGAGGGAAUCGGAAUAUAGGGUGUAGCGGUGAAAUGCGUUGAUAUCCUAUAGAACACCGGAGGCGAAGGCGGAUUCCUUGAACAGUACUGACGCUGAGGCGCGAAAGUCGGGGGAGCAAACAGGAUUAGAUACCCUGGUA
rnacentral:rRNA from 1 species